UACGUGAAACCGUUCAGGGGUAAACGGGAGACAUCCUGAAUUCGAAAGGGACUGGAUUCAACUGCACCCGGUAUAUCAGACUGCCUGCCGUGAGAUGGUGCCGGCCGCCCGCGGCGAUUCACUUCGCCCGCGGUGUCGUAACCGGCGCGGACUCUGCGGUUUGGCGUGUAAUCUGGAGCACGUGGGCAGCGCACUUCUUCCCUAGUAGAAACGUCGCGACCCGUUGGGUGCCGGUCUAAGGCCCGGGCAGGAGCCCGUGCGACCCACGGCGGUGUCAAGCCACCGUGAGCUCGCGCGGACGCAAGGUGUCCCGGCCGGCUGCCCGACGGUAGGACCAGAGGAGUCGACCCGCUGAUUGAAAAGCAUUGUGAGUGUGAAGCGUCCGGCCCUGCGGCGGCGUGCGCGAGCUCAGUCUCGCCGUCGUACGCAGGUGUCCUCGAACAGGGUCGAUACUCCAGUCCGCGGCGCCCACCUUCGGAUGG
rnacentral:rRNA from 1 species